GUCUACGGACAUACCAGUCUUAAAGUGACUGAUUUCAUCAGAUUUUAGAAGCCAUCCAGACUCGGGCCUGGUUAGUAUUUGUAUGGGAUGGGAGACCAACUAGGAACCUCAGGUGUCGUAAGUU